UAUGGUAAUGAUGUGCCUACAGGGUAGAACAUUUAGACUCAAUGAAAUUAUGAUUUUAAGUGAAAAAAUAGUGUUCAAAGAAUAAUUAAAUGACUGCAACUGCUCAGACACAUCACAUGGAUGAAAACCCACACAUCUGUAGUGAUGAUUAUAAAAGCAGGAGGAGAAAAGGGUGAAAAUCAAGGCCUCUGGACUCCUGGCAGGUGCCUAGGGUACCCACUGUGACCUCUGGAAGCAGGGGCUUUCCAAGGGAAGGGACUGAGCCCUUGGUUAGCAUUUGCCCUCCACAUAGCAUUUCAGUAGACUGCAGCAGCCGGUAUGGAUAAAGGAGUUUUCAUGCAGAAGAAUCCCAGCCAGAAAAUGAGGCGACUAGCCUGUCGGGCUGGGGUGCAGCUCAGUGCUAGAGCAAGAGGUCAGCAUGCAAGAGGCCCCGGGUUCCAUCCCCAGGACCCCAACCAGUAAGGGGCAGGGAGGGAGUAGGAAUCAGCCAUUUUACAGGACAGAAUAGAGCAGCCCUAGAAAAUGACACACUGUUUUAAAAAAAAUAAUAAUAACAUUUUUCCUUUUUUCAGUACUUGAAAUGGAACCCGGGGCCUCACACAUGUUGACAAAUGCUCCACCACUGAGCCACAUCCUCAGCCCUUUUUAUUUGGUUUUUAGACAGGGUCUCGCUAAGUUGCCCAAGCCGGCCCGGAACUUGCCAUCCUCCUGCCUCUGCCUCUGCCUCCUCCGUCCCUGGGAUCCCAGGCGUACCGUCGCCCUGGGCUCCACUGUUCUCUGGAACUCAAGACAUUCCUAACUGAUACCCCGUUUCAUCCCCAGCUCCCCUGCGGCUGGGCCUCACCAAUCCUGGCUGCUCCCUUCAGUUCCGUCCAUCCUGGGCUGCCUGUUUUUUCUGUUUUUGUUUUUAACUUUUGCAGUGCUGGGGAUGGGACCCACACAUGUGAGGCAAGCAGGCUACCUCUGAGCUGCGUCCCCAGCAUCAUCGUGAUCUACUUAAUUUCUCCAGUGCAUUCAAACCCUGCUGACUUAGGACCUUUGCUCAGGCUGUACCCUUUAUGUGUGUGUGUGUGUCUGUCUGUGUGUCUCUCUCUCUCCUUCCCCCCUCCCCACCCUUUCUCUGGGACUGGGGAUUGAAUCCAGGGGCCCUUUUAUUUUUAAUUUUAAUAAGCUGGUGGGCUUAUAUUUUUAAUUUUGAGACAGAGUUUAACUAAAUUGCCCAGGACCUUGCUAAGUUUCUAAGGCUGGCCUCAAACUUGCAGUCCUCCUGCCUCAGCCUCCAGAGACCCUGGGAUUACAGGUGUGUGCCACAGCACUCUCAUGGUAGCAGAAUGAUGGCCCUGGUAAGGCCACAUCCUGACCCACUGAGCCUGUGGGGACCCUCCUUACAAUAGAAGCCUAAGGGGCUUUGCUGGUGGGCUUAUAUUCAGGACCUAGAGAUGAGAGACCAACCUACAUCAUCCACAUGGGCCCAGUGCCCUUAGGAAGGUCCUUAAAAGAUGGAAGAGGGGGCUGGGGCGGUGGCUCAGAGGCAGAGCGCUCGCCCAGCACGCGUGAGGCCCUGGGUUCCAUCCUCAGCACCACAUAAGGUUAAUAAAUAAAGGGGUCGUGUCCACCUACAACUAAAAAAAUACCUAUUUAAGAAAAGAAAAGGGGGGCUGGGGCUGUAGCUCGCUGGUAGAGCGCUUGCCUCGCAUGCACGGUCCUGGGUUCAGUCCCCCCCCCCAAAAAAGAAAACAAAAAGAUGGAAGAGGGAGGCGGAAGGACCAGAGAGGGACGUGGCCGUGGAAGCUGGGGUCGCUGGCAGGGACCACAGGACAAGGGACCUGGGGCUCUGGGACCUGAGGACAGCCCAAAGUCCCCAGAGGGAGGCAGCCCUGCGGGCACCUCCAGCCCAGUGGGACAGUCAGCCUUCCAGGCCUGGGGUCAUAAGUGUCCCCAGCCUCACAGUCGGGGACUUUGCCCUGGCAGCUGCGGCGCCUCCCCAGCGCACUUGGCCUCUCUUUAUCUGAGUCUGCUCAUCUGGAAAAUGGAGACGGUGACGUGCCAGGGUCUGGGAUUUCACCUUGGUGUGCUGAGGAGUGAGCCUGAGGUGCCAUGGACGUUCCAACGCUAGCCACGGCCAGCACAAGGGACAAGCGUUGGCGUCUGUUUCCCAGGCCCCCAGAGUCCCCCGGGUCCCCAAGGCAAUGCAGAGACCAGGUGGGUGGCGCCCACACUCUGGUCCCUGUUGCUCUGAGGGGCUCCUGAGCUGGGGGAUGGGCCGCCUGGUUACUGCCUGCACUCCCCUUGUCCUUUUGCAGCAGCCACCAGAGGGCACCUGUGAGCACCAGAAUCCGGUCCCUUCCUCCUCUGCCUGCAGCCCUGGGUGGUUCCACCUCCCUCAGGGUCCCCUCUGCAGCUCACUGGCCUUGGGAGAACUGCCCCCUCUCCUUGCUGCCUCCUCUCCUCCCUCUCUCCCCUGCUUCCCUCUGCUCCAACUAUACUAUACAGGCUCCCUGCUCCCUGCUUUGUUCUGCCCCAGGGCCUUUGCAUGGGCUGCACCCUCUGCCUGGAGUGCUGUUCCCACAGACAACCAUGUGCCUCCCUGUGUCACCUCUCUAGGUCUCUGCUCAGAUAUCUUUAGAUGUAUAUUUAAUUUUUUGGGGGGGAUUUUUAACAUUUAUUUCUUAGUUUUCGGCGGACACAACAUCUUUGUUUGUAUGUGGUGCUGAGGAUUCGAACCCAGGCCACACGCAUGCCAGGCGAGCGCGCUACUGCUUGAGCCACAUCCCCAGCCCCUCUUUAGAUGUAUAAAUGUCUACUGCCAUUUGCCUGACACCCAGGGGAAGACUUCUUUGGUCAGAGCGUGGCCCAGACUCCUAUGGGUCCUGUGUCUGACUCGCCAGCCGCAGGGUUCCGUUCCUUCCUUGUAGAGUCCCGUUUAUACAAGGAUCUUGCCAAGUCAUCUGGGCGCAGUGGCUCACACCUGUCUGUUGAGAGCCACAGCCGAGUUGGGAUGGCGCCUGGCCUUUUGCCCGCAUGUUAACGCCUGAAGCAAUAAAUACAUUAAAACUCAUUGAAACAUAUGUGGAAAAUGUGCAUUUGGACAGAAUUGAUGGAGAACAGCAGCCGAUUUGGAUUCCAGAGAGACUAACUAAAGCGAUUUCUACAGAACAAAAAGAAGAUGAUUUGGCUCAAAUCCAUAACAGCUGAUGUCCAGAACUCUAGUUUGGCUAUCUUUACAUCUGCGACAGUGUUUCUCCCACACCUGGAGGCUAAUGAAUAAUGAACACCAUUAAGGCCUAUUUCAAAUGUAAAAAACUUUGGGGCUUGCUUGCGGGAAUACCUUCAGACCCAUUUGUGAGUUACAGGAAGAAGGAUGGGAUAUCAAAAGAAGAGUCAAACCCAGGUGGUAACCAGGAUGCUUUUUUCAAUAUCUAUUUUAUUAUUGCCCUCUCCCAUAUCAUGAAGUUCUAUUUUGUUUUUUUGAGCUCAUACAGACCUAGGUUAAUGUUUUUCUGAUCGGUUCUAUUUUUUGACUGUGGAGUUUUUAAACAUUGCAAUGGGGAUUUCACCUGUGAAAAGCUACAAGGCCUUUACUAUUAUGUUAGGUGUUGUAUGUAUUAUAUUAUGUGUGCACACUUGUGUUUUAUGUUGUAUGUCUUUAUGUGCGUAUGUCCAUAUAUAUGAGGAGUGCUCAUAAAAAAAUGGAUCCAAUUUUUUUUUUAUUAUUCACGUGAUUUAAAUGGUUUAAUUUAAAUUGGGUAAACAGCUGUUGAGGAUUGUUUUAAAAUGUGAACAAAAAAAGGAGGUUAACAGAUCUGUUUGUUUACUUUCACCUUUCCUGUUCAUUAUAUCUAAUUCUAUUCAGGAUACUAAAUUGUUUAGAAAAUUGCUUUUUUUUAGUGCCUGCUGGAAUGUUACAUAUUUUUUUUUAGCCAUUAUUGCCAGAAUUCCUAUCUUCAUCCCAGUGUCAGUGAAGACAAAACCAAACUACAGCUUCUGCGAUAGCUAUCACAGUAAACUGUGUAAACUGAUGCAUCAAUGAAUAAUGUAAAUCAACAAGUAAUGCUUAAUCAAGGAGUCGAUUUGCUUUGGGAGGAAAUGGACAUAUUGAUGGAUUCCUCUGCUUUGAACUGCUUGCAGAACUUGCCUGGACUAUGUGUCACUUAUACGCAUUGUGAACUAUCUGUUAGUGCAGCGAAUUGUGGUAGUGCUGGGGUAUUUUUGCUGAUGGUGUCAUCGGUGGUACAAUUUUUCCAAAAAGAGCCAUCAAUUGGCUUGGUGUCGUGGCAUUUUGUAUCCUCCUCCCUUCUGCUUGUGAUGGUCGUCGUUCAGCUAAAAUUUGGGGCCCAACAGAGGUGAGGCAAAGAACCUCACCUCCCCGCUGGUACAAAGGCCUAUCCACAGGUGUGGCUAUAUGCUGGACCGGUAGUCAGUGACGGGUAAGAUCCAAUUGCAAUGGUACCAACCUAAGAUAGGAGGCUGACGCCUUGAGGUCAGCUCAUCCGAUGAUGGGUAAGGACCAUAUGUAGUACUGGACAACCUAAGGCAGGCACGGCCCCUAAGUCACAUGCUUGUUUAAUUAAACAGAAGGGGGGAGAUGUUGAGAGCCACAGCCGAGUCGGGAUGGCCCCUGGCAUUUUGCCAGAAGGAGUGGUUGAGAGGUGAUGCCAGGGAGCCAUUAAGAUGAUGAUAAUUAAGUUAAGCUGUGUAUAAUUUCUGUGACUGGAUGAUGCUGGAUUGAAACAGGCUGUGGAUUCAGUUGUCUAUGGACCCUGCUGCCUCGGGCACCCGCUACUUUUGAGUUCUCAUUGACCUCUCGCGGAGCCCCGUGGAGAGAGUUCCCUAGGAGUGCGGGGAGUGUGCGUGGAGUGGAGUUCGGGCAAUAAAGGAGUUCCUGUUUGAACCUACAA